rnacentral:rRNA from 1 species
CAGAGGGGCAAGCGUUGUCGGAAUUACUGGGCGUAAAGGGCGCGUAGGCGGCCUGCUAAGUCGAACGUGAAAUCCCUGGGCUCAACCCAGGAACUGCGUCCGAUACUGGUUGGCUUGAAUCCGGGAGAGGGAUGCGGAAUUCCAGGUGUAGCGGUGAAAUGCGUAGAUAUCUGGAGGAACACCGGUGGCGAAGGCGGCAUCCUGGACCGGCAUUGACGCUGAGGCGCGAAAGCCAGGGGAGCAAACGGGAUUAGAUACCCCGGUAGUCCUGGCCCUAAACGAUGAAUGCUUGGUGUGGUGGGUAUCGAUCCCUACCGUGCCGAAGCUAACGCAUUAAGCACUCCGCCUGGGGAGUACGGUCGCAAGGCUG